rnacentral:snoRNA from 1 species
GAGUGAUGAUGUUUUAAACCUAUUCCAUUUCUGAUAUGAUCUGUGGAAAAAAGUAACUGAACUC